CUGCGCCACGUCGGGGGCGGGCCCGGUGAGCGCGGGAAGGCUCUGCGGGGCGGCCAGCCGUCCUCAGCCGCCUCGCGUCAUGGCCCUAUCGGUUCCCUGCUACUCACCCAGCUUCCGAAAGCCGCCCGAGGUAGUGCGGCUCCGACGGAAAAGGGCCCGGAGCCGUGGAGCUGCCGCCUCCCCGCCCGGUGAGCUGCCGGAGCCGGCGGCCCGCCGAGCCGCCCUGGCGGCGGGGUUGCACCUUCGCCCUUUCCCUGCCGCGGGGGGCAGAGGCGGUGGCGGCGGCCCGGCCGCUGCCCGGAGGAACCCUUUCGCCCGCCUGGACAACCGACCGCGGGUCGCCGCGGAGCUCCCCGACGGGCCGGCCCGCGAGCAGCCGGAGGCGCCGGGCCCGUUUUUAGAUUCUAAUCAAGAAAAUGAUUUGCUAUGGCAAGAGAAGUUCCCUGAAAGAACAACUGUUACUGAAUUACCCCAGACUUCACAUGUAUCGUUCUCCGAGUCUGAUAUUCCAUCCUCAGAAAAUACUGAGUUACCUGUGGACUGGAGUAUUAAAACCCAACUCCUUUUCACCUCUUCUCAACCCUUUACCUGGGCAGAUCAUUUGAAAGCACAGGAAGAAGCUCAAGGUCUUGUCCAGCAUUGUAGGGCAACAGAAGUUACUUUGCCUAAAAGUAUACAGGAUCCCAAACUCUCCACUGAGCUCCGUUGUGCCUUCCAGCAGAACCUUAUCUAUUGGCUCCACCCUGCCUUGUCUUGGCUACCACUGUUCCCUCGUAUUGGAGCUGAUAGAAAAAUGGCUGGAAAGACAAGUCCUUGGUCAAAUGAUGCAACCCUGCAGCAUGUUUUAAUGAGUGACUGGUCCGUGAGCUUUACUUCUCUAUAUAAUUUGCUGAAGACAAAACUUUGCCCCUAUUUCUACGUUUGUACCUAUCAGUUUACUGUCCUGUUCCGAGCAGCAGGAUUAGCUGGAAGUGACUUAAUCACAGCUCUCAUAUCUCCUACAACUCGAGGUUUAAGAGAAGCUAUGAGAAAUGAAGGUAUUGAAUUUUCUCUGCCUUUAAUAAAAGAAAGUGGCUAUAAGAAGGAGACAGCAUCUGGAACAAGCUUGGGAUAUGGGGAGGAGCAAGCCAUCAGUGAUGAGGACGAAGAGGAAAGUUUUUCCUGGCUGGAAGAGAUGGGUGUGCAAGAUAAAAUUAAAAAGCCAGACAUACUUUCUAUCAAGCUUCGUAAAGAGAAACAUGAAGUACAGAUGGAUCACAGACCUGAGUCUGUUGUGUUGGUAAAAGGAAUCAACACCUUUACAUUGCUCAAUUUUUUGAUUAACUGUAAGAGUUUAGUUGCUACCUCAGGUCCACAGGCAGGACUUCCUCCAACCCUCUUGUCCCCUGUUGCUUUCCGAGGUGCCACAAUGCAAAUACUUAAGGCACGAAGUGUAAAUGUGAAGACACAAGCUCUUUCUGGAUACAGAGACCAGUUUAGUUUGGAGAUUACAGGUCCUAUCAUGCCUCAUUCUCUGCAUUCACUGACCAUGCUGCUCAAAUCUUCACAGAGUGGGUCUUUCUCUGCAGUACUACAUCCACACGAGCCAACUGCUGUAUUUAACAUCUGCCUGCCAGUGGACAAAGUACUUGAUACGGAGGUUGUUCAUAAGGAGCUUACUAACUGUGGUUUGCACCCUAACACUCUGGAGCAACUUAGUCAAAUACCAUUACUUGGGAAAUCAGCUUUACGGAAUGUGGUGCUGAGAGACUACAUUUAUAAUUGGAGAUCCUGAACACCAAACCCAUUUUUCUCAUCAAAACGGCUCCCAUUCCUCCAGUUACCGGGGCUGCUCUUAAGAACUGAUCCUAUCCAAAGAAAGAAAGCUUUAUAAUUAAAUGCUAGGGAGAAAACAUGCCAAUGAUGUGUGACUAGACAUUAAGUUCAUCAAGAUGCUCUGAUGGAAGGAGGCAGCUGUGGAGGUAAAAACAUACCCCUGGUUCAGUUCCUUAUUUGGUGCAGGCCAUGCAGUGUAGAUGUAUAAAGAGAAAGCUGAUGCUUGGAUAUUAACUGCCUUGAUGCUACACACCUAGAAUGUCUUUUACUUACUUCCAGGUUCAUCCGUCCCUCUUUUCCAGGGAACACUCCUAAAAAAAAGGGCAACUGUGCAGAGUACAAUAUAAAUCCCCAGAUAACCCAAGUUUCCAAUUUUGUUUCCAUUCCCUAGUAUCGUCAUCUGUUUCUUUACCCCAAUGUGAAAAAGCUGAUUAAUUUAAUGAGACCACAAUAAUAAACUCUAUUUAUCAGGUCACAUCCAAAUCAUUCCAUUCCAGAAAUAAAAGUUCUUUUAAACCAACUAUUUUAAGUGUUUUACUGAUUAAUGAGAAUACUGAUAAAACUUUGCUUUUUUUAAAAUCUAAAAAUAUACUGCAACAAACUAAAAAGAACACAGAGGAUGUUGGUAUUCCAUGUGUUUUUUAACACAUAGGUGGAUGCUGGACUAUACUAAAGAAGAGCCAAAAUGAUCGUUUGACAGGUUUUCUAAACACAAUUACACAUUUAAUGAAUAGGUAAUCUUUGUGAUAUUUAACAAGAAUGAUACAUGUUAAAUUUUCAGCUGCUAAUGACUUCUACAUAUUGUGGUCCAUGUUUAAUUUUAAAAAGUUUCUUUUUUAGUUGAUACUAGCAUCAAAUAUUCUUCAGUAAUUCUAUACAAAUGAAUCUUUUCCUGUAAGUUCUACUUUUAACUAUAAUUUAAAAUUUGGUCUGAUGAACAUAUCUUUAUUGCAUAGUUUAUCAAAAUGAUUUGCUUCCCAAAGUAUAUCUUAUAUAAAAUAUGAAGUCAAAGUCUUUUUUAAAGGUGCUACUAAAAUUUUAAAAUUAUUUACUCAAAGUCUGUUAACUGCCUACAAGACUGCAAAUACCAGAAGAAAUUGGUUUUAGGGGAAAACCAAUUGAGUCAGUAAAAGAUUCACUUUUUAAAAGUUAUUUAAGUUAUUAACAUAUUUAGAAGUAUUCAAAUAUUAUGGAUCAGCACAUCAUUAGAUAAAGACCACAAUUUUGUAAUGGAAGCACAUUCAGAAGUUUCUACCUAGUAGUGAACAUUGCCUGUAUUAUGUGCCUAUUUUAACACCCAUAAGCUUUAUUUCUAACUUCCUGAAAUAUUGGCUGAAGCUUCAAGACUAAACAGUACUAAAAAAGUAAAACUAAAGAAAUAGAUGUACAUUUAUAAUUCUGCCCAAGAUGUAAGACAUUUUUUCAAAUAGUAUAUAAAUCACUUUCAUACUAACUAUAAUACAGAAGUCCAAGAUUAAUCCAAUCUUUAAAAUAUUUUUCUAUAUAUAUUUUCACCUUUAUUCUAACACCAACUCUCAGCAAACUACAGAAAUUGUAAUUUCUUAAUGAAUCUAACUGUGUACUCACUAUACACAUCAGUGCAACUACUUCCCAAAAAAGGCAGGCAUAGUGAGUAUACAUGUUUCAUAUUAAUUUGUUAGUAAGAUCAACAAAGAUAAAGCUAUCAAAAUUGAAAUAAAUGUUACAA